rnacentral:rRNA from 1 species
GAGAGCUUGCUUUCUAGAGACCGGCGGAUGGGUGAGUAACGCGUAUGCAACCUACCUUUUACAGGGGAAUAGCCCGGAGAAAUUCGGAUUAAUGCUCCAUGGUUUAUAUGAAUGGCAUCGUUUAUAUAAUAAAGAUUUAUCGGUAAAAGAUGGGCAUGCGUAUCAUUAGCUAGUUGGUGUGGUAACGGCAUACCAAGGCGACGAUGAUUAGGGGUCCUGAGAGGGAGAUCCCCCACACUGGUACUGAGACACGGACCAGACUCCUACGGGAGGCAGCAGUGAGGAAUAUUGGUCAAUGGAGGCAACUCUGAACCAGCCAUGCCGCGUGCAGGAUGACGGUCCUAUGGAUUGUAAACUGCUUUUGUACGGGAAGAAAUGUAAUUACGUGUAAUUAUUUGACGGUACCGUAAGAAUAAGGAUCGGCUAACUCCGUGCCAGCAGCCGCGGUAAUACGGAGGAUCCGAGCGUUAUCCGGAAUUAUUGGGUUUAAAGGGUUCGUAGGCGGUUUAGUAAGUCAGUGGUGAAAUCUUAUAGCUUAACUAUAAAAUUGCCGUUGAUACUGCUAAACUUGAAUAGUAUGGAAGUAAUUAGAAUAUGUAGUGUAGCGGUGAAAUGCUUAGAUAUUACAUGGAAUACCAAUUGCGAAGGCAGAUUACUACGUACUUAUUGACGCUGAUGAACGAAAGCGUGGGUAGCGAACAGGAUUAGAUACCCUGGUAGUCCACGCCGUAAACGAUGGAUACUAGCUGUUCGGUUUUCGGACUGAGUGGCUAAGCGAAAGUGAUAAGUAUCCCACCUGGGGAGUACGUUCGCAAGAAU